UACGUAGGGUGCAAGCGUUGUCCGGAAUUAUUGGGCGUAAAGGGCUCGUAGGCGGUCCAUCACGUCGGGAGUGAAAAGCUGGGGCUUAACCCCAGUCCUGCUUCCGAUACGGGUGGACUAGAGGUAGGCAGGGGAGAACGGAAUUCCUGGUGUAGCGGUGAAAUGCGCAGAUAUCAGGAGGAACACCGGUGGCGAAGGCGGCCAACUGGACGAAUACUGACGCUGAGACUCGAAAGCGUGGGGAGCAAACAGG
rnacentral:rRNA from 1 species